rnacentral:rRNA from 1 species
UGGGGAAUCUUGCGCAAUGGGCGAAAGCCUGACGCAGCGACGCCGCGUGGGUGAUGAAGGCCUUCGGGUUGUAAAGCUCUGUGGGGAGAGACGAAUAAGUGCGGGCGAAUACCCUGCAUGAUGACGGUAUCUUCUUAGCAAGCACCGGCUAACUCUGUGCCAGCAGCCGCGGUAAGACAGAGGGUGCAAACGUUGUUCGGAAUUACUGGGCGUAAAGCGUGUGUAGGCGGCCUCGUAAGUCGGAUGUGAAAGCCCCAGGCUCAACCUGGGAAGUGCAUUCGAUACUGUGAGGCUUGAGUAUCGGAGAGGUUGGUGGAAUUCUCGGUGUAGAGGUGAAAUUCGUAGAUAUCGAGAGGAACACCGGUGGCGAAGGCGGCCAACUGGACGAAUACUGACGCUGAGACACGAAAGCGUGGGGAGCAAACAGGAUUAGAUACCCCCGUAGUCC